rnacentral:rRNA from 1 species
UACGGGGGGAGCAAGCGUUGUUCGGAUUUACUGGGCGUAAAGGGCGCGUAGGCGGUCAGCACAAGUCAGUUGUGAAAUCUCCGGGCUUAACUCGGAAAGGUCAACUGAUACUGUGCGACUAGAGUGCGGAAGGGGCAACUGGAAUUCUCGGUGUAGCGGUGAAAUUCGUAGAUAUCGGGAGGAACACCGGUGGCGAAGGCGGCGACCUGGGUGGAUACUGACGCUGAGGUGCGAAAGCGUGGGGAGCAAACAGG